UACAGAGGUCCCAAGCGUUGUUCGGAUUCACUGGGCGUAAAGGGUGCGUAGGCGGUCGGGUAAGUCUGAUAUGAAAUCUCACAGCUUAACUGUGAAACUGCAUUGGAUACUAUUCGGCUUGAGAGUUGGAGGGGGGACUGGAAUUCUUGGUGUAGCAGUGAAAUGCGUAGAUAUCAAGAGGAACACCAGUGGCGAAGGCGAGUCCCUGGACAACUUCUGACGCUGAGGCACGAAAGCUAGGGGAGCAAACAGG
rnacentral:rRNA from 1 species